UACGUAGGGUGCAAGCGUUGUCCGGAAUUAUUGGGCGUAAAGAGCUCGUAGGCGGUCUGUCGCGUCGCUGUGAAAACCCGGAGCUCAACUCCGGGCCUGCAGUCGAUACGGGCAAACUAGAGUGUGGUAGGGGGAGACUGGAAUUCCUGGUGUAGCGGUGAAAUGCGCAGAUAUCAGGAGGAACACCGGUGGCGAAGGCGGGUCUCUGGGCCAUAACUGACGCUGAGGAGCGAAAAGCGUGGGGAGCGAACAGG
rnacentral:rRNA from 1 species